rnacentral:rRNA from 1 species
UUGGGACUGUGCACAGUCUGAUGCAGCCAUGCCGCGUGCGGGAUGAGGCCUUCGGGUUGUAAACCGCUUUUGUCAGGGAAGAAAAUUCUGGGGCUAAUAUCCUCGGAUGAUGACGGUUCCUGAAGAAUAACCACCGGCAUACUACGUGCCAGCAGCCGCGGUAAUA